rnacentral:rRNA from 1 species
GCAUAACGCGAAGAACCUUACCCAGGUUUGACAUCCCGAGAAGGCUUCCGAAAGGAAACUGUGCUUUAUUGAACUCGGUGACAGGUGAUGCAUGGCCGUCGUCAGCUCGUGUCGUGAGAUGUAUGGUUAAGUCCAUUAACGAGCGCAACCCUUAUGUUUAGUUGGAUUUUCUAAACAGACUGCCCUGGUAACAGGGAGGAAGGAGGGGAUGAUGUCAGGUCAGUAUUUCCCUUACAUCUGGGGCUACAAACACGCUACAAUGGCCGGUAACAAAGGGCAGCCAACCCGCAAGGGGGAGCUAAUCCCAUCAAAGCCGGUCUCAGUUCGGAUUGCAGGCUGAAACUCGCCUGCAUGAAGCUGGAAUCGCUAGUAACGGUAAGUCAGCACAUUACCGUGAAUACGUUCCCGGGUCUUGUACACACCG